rnacentral:tRNA from 1 species
UCCCUGGAGGACUAGUGUUUAGGCCUCGGUGCUCUCACCACCACGGCCCAGGUUCGAUUCCCUGCCAGGGAA